CCAAUCAUUAUCCCCACCACAAACGAAGUAAUUCUGGAAAUUCAAAAAUGAUGAGGAAACUUGGUUGAGCCGUCUCUAGCAUGCUACAAAUUUUUUUGAAGAUACAGGAAUUCACAAAAACCCUGAUCUUACGAGAAGAAAACCAGCGCUUACUUCCAAGUGGAAAAUUGGUUGCACGGAGGUGCGUUCGAGGCCCAUAUUGGUAAGAGAAAUAAGAGGCAUUCCCAUUCAUCAAAGAUUCAAUUGCAUGACCAAAUAUUGGACUCUUUUUGUCGAUGAUAUGUCUCACCGCCAACCCAAACCGCAAAUAAGUGACCUGCACACGAUAGCAAGUACUCAACAAAAAAGUAAAUUUUUAGGGAAACUAUUUAUGAACACAAAAACAAGACAAUCUUGUGAGUAAAGUGAUGGGGUGGAAUGUUUGAUAGUGAUCCUGCAUGCUUAAUUGAUACCUCAGGGCCGAACGAAUUCAAGAUCAUGUGUUGAGCAGAAUGUGGAGCCCGAGGGCAGCAUCAUAAAAAUUCGGAAUGUCAAACCGAUCUUGGCGUCUACUAACUCGCAUGAGGCAGGGCCUGUCAAUAACAGCCUCACAGCAAAAAAAAAAAAAAAAAAAAAAAAAAAAACCCUAUCACGAAAGCCAACAAGCUCCAGCAAUGACACUGAAGAAAAGAGGGCUAACGAAAAUAAGGAACAACAAGCCAGCCUUCACCGGAACACCAUGCUAACUGCAUGCCUAAGACCUCCAGGUAAUAAUGUCAAAUUCAGCAUGUGACAGUGACCAUAAUCAUCCCCCAUAGGCUAGAAAAAUUUGACAUCUCAACAAGGCCAUCUCUAGCAAUAAUAGAUGAGUGGAAAAUGUUCGCUGGAAAUCCAACUUGCUCUUUUCUUCCCCAGGUGCUGCUAAAUAGUCAUCACCACGUAGACGUCUUGCAAAAUGGAUCAUUUUGAGUG
rnacentral:lncRNA from 1 species